AAAGGUUUAGUUAAAAUAUAACAUUAGAAUGUCAAACUGAAAUUAUUUAAUAUAAAUAACCUUUA
rnacentral:tRNA from 1 species